GGAAGAAGCAGGCUCAUAGCGGAGGAGCCUGAUAUGGAGCCCGAUCCCACAACGCCGGGAUCACGCCCUGAGCUGAAGGCAGACGCUUAACCGCUGUGCCACCCAGGCGCCCCAGCAGAACUCUUCUUGACGGGCAGGAGGGAGCACCUUCUUCCAUCAGCUUCUGUUUGACGCCCUGCCCCCAACCCCUGACACCUUAGGAUCGGGGUUUGGGGAACUACAGGGAGAAACUGUAAAUUAAGGUCCUACACUAUCUUCCCCACGCAGGGGCCCUUCAGCAGCCCUGGUGGUCUCUGGGGGCUGUUGGAAUGUUCCCUCUUGGGGGGUGGUAAGGUGAUUUAGUCCAGUUACAGGAUUGCCCAGAUUGGUCCCUCUGGGGCCCUUCAGCCUCUGGUGUGUUUGGUGUUUGCCCAGGUGCUGGAAGAGGUCCCCCGGGGCCGGGAGGGGAUGCACGGGGUAAACUUGGGAGUGGAGGGAAAGCAGAUCUCAGCUCCUUUACCGUUAAAUGGGCAUUUAUGGAAAUGAACUGCCACCGAGAGGACAGCCUGCACAAGCAUCUCUUUCUUUUUUUUUUUUUUUUAAGAUUUUAUUUAUUCAUGUGACAGAGAGACAGCCAUAGAGAGAGGGAGCACAGCAGGGAAGUGGGAGAGGAAGAAGCAGGCUCCCAGCGGAGGAGCCCGAUGUGGGACUCUAUCCCAGAACGCCGGGAUCACGCCUUGAGCCGAAGGCAGACGCUUAACGACUGAGCCACCCAGGUGCCACACGAGCAUCUCUUUCUAUCCAGAAGGAGCAUCCCGCCCCGUGCACGGUCCUGACCCGCCGUCGGCGAGUUUGCAGGACAUCCUGGGAGCCGCGGCAGCUGGUGCAAGAUGAGGACGGGGCUACCAGCUCCGAGUGCUCACCGGGUGGACAGUGAAUCGGGGUCUUUUUUUUUUUAUUGUGGUAAAAUACACAUAACACAAAAUUUACCGCCUUAACCGCUUCCCAGCGUCCCGUUACGGGGCAGCGACACUGUGGUGUAGCCCUCACCACCGUCCGUCUCCGAGCCCUUCCAUCUUGCAAAACUGCGACUGUCCCGAAGGAAAUCCUCACCCCCCAGCCCCUGGCCCCCACCGCCCCACUGUCUCAAGGAAUCCAACUGCUCUAGGGACUUCAGUCUUGCGGGGUCUGUCCUUGUGGUCCUUUUAAAGGUGGGCUUCCUGUGUGAGGUUCCCAAGUCCAUCUUCCCGACUCUUCACUCACCUGCUCAGAGCCAGGAAGGACCCUGGUUCCCGGGCCCCAGACCAGAGCCUGCCAGGAUCACUGAAUUGCACAGGUAGGACUUGGGAAGAGGGUGUAUUUCGGGGCCCCUGAAUGAACACAGGAAGGAUGAUUUACUUUGGGGCACCUGGGGGGCUCAGUUGAUGAAGCGUCUGACUCUUGAUUUUGGCUCAGGUCCUGAUCUCAGGGUCAUGGGAUCAAGCCCUGCAUGGGGCUCAGCGCUCAGUAGGGAGCCUGCUUGAGAUUCUCUCUCCCUCUGCCCCUCCCCCCACAUGCUCUUUCUCUAAAAUAAAUAAAUAAAUCUUAAAAACAGAUGAAAUAUUUCAAGCAUCAGAAAAAUGGAGAGCUGUACAACAAACACCUGUCGACACUGCCCAGCGCGAGCAAAGCAUGACAUGGCAAAGGGCACACAUCCUAAGUGAGCCACGUGAUGAGUGUCUGCACGUGGAUGGACCAGGGUGGCCUCCAUCCAAUCUUGAGCAAGCCUGUGGCCUUGGGAAGGUCAUGCUCUCCAUUCCAUGGGUAAGGAAAUGAAAGAGCAGAGAGGGUAAGUGCUUUUUCCAAGGUUCCCAGCUAGGAAGAGACAGAACAGGGAGGGCACAGCCAGGCCCCAGGGUCCCACAUUCGGGGACAGCUCUGAGAGGCUGACGCCACCGCGCCAGUGACGGGGUUGGGGGCAGGGAGCAUUUGCACAGGAAAGGAAAAUUUCAGAAGAAAGACCAGUCCUUUGAACAUCUUAGACUUUUACAAAAGAGAAAAAAAGCGAACAAAAACAAGAAACCCACCUCUUUGCAUUGUUCUCAUUUGUCUCAUUUUUCUUCUGAGUGGAAGCCUGGUGUCUGGGCACCCCGACUUGGAGGGGGGGUCAAAGCUCCUCUCCAGGACUGCCAGCCUGGGUCCGGGGGCUGAGGCCAGAGUUUCCAGAUUUAGCAAGUAAAAAUAUAGGAUGCACAGUUACAUGCUAAUUUCAGGCCUGCAACUUCGCCGAGGGAUGUUUGCAGAGCAUGGGGCUGAGCGGAGUGUGGCCAGAGCGCCAAAGAGUGCCCCCCCCACCCGCUCGGUGACCCGCGGCACCUGCAGCCGCAGCCCCUGGCAGGCCCUGUAUUUAUUUAUGCUUUUAAUGAAAGCAAAUCCAGCCUCACCGACUCUGGAGAACUGUAACAUGAUGACUCUUGUGAGAAGUGGACACACCUGGCUUUUCCCAGCCUGCCGGCCCCACGGGCCGCUUCACACGCCGCCGUCGGAUGUUCACGGAGCCCCUCUGCACACGGCACUGAGGGAGGGAGGGCCGCCCCUGCCCCCACUCACUCACCGUCCACCUGGGGGUGUGGGAGCGCCACUGUUCUACCCCAGCCCCACAACAGCCCAGGGAGGUGCUGUUCUCGCCAUGGGACAGGUGAGGAAACUGAGGCACAGAGAUUUAGGAUCGUGCAGAAGCUCACGAGGCUGAUAUGUAGCAGCGCUGGGAUGGCCACCUGGGGUCUCCCUCCACCAGACGGCUGGUUUGAGCCCAGGGGGCACUUUGGAAAGCUCCACCGCCAGGCCUCCUGAGCGAACAGGACUGGUGCGGGGCCUGGUGGGAGCUCUGAAAGCUGCCGGUGGGCAGAGGUGAUCUGGCUUCUCCCUGCAGCAAAGGUCAGGGGAAGCCACCGCACCCCCACCCCCUGCACAGGAGGGGGAGGGGGAGGGGGGAGGAGGAGGAGGAACAACUUGGGGUCCCCAGGCUGCAGGGCAUGCUGGGGGCAUGGGGGGGCAUGAGCGGAAGUGCAGAGCUGGGAUGUGCUCCUGGGUCAAUAGAGGGCUGAGCUCCAAAUGGGGGCUUGCCUCGGGCUUUCCUAUCCACGAUGCUGGGGAUACCCCUUCCCCUGAGCCAAAAGCACAGGUGCGAUGUCCGCGAGGAUGCCAGUCCCUUUCCCGCCUCAGCCCAGGGCCUGGCGGUU